GGUACUCUGUUUAUAUCGUAACUAAAGUUAAAUUUUUGUACCAACAAAUUUACAUUGGAAGCCCGAUCUUUGGCUGCAGCGUAAAUGCCUGCUGUAAGUGGGACUUAUAAAACAGACAAGAGGGCAUCCACCUGCUGAGCGCAGGGUGCAAAAAACUUCCCGUAGUUACGACUAAGUGGAGUAUCC
rnacentral:other from 1 species